CCUACGGGUGGCAGCAGUGGGGAAUAUUGCGCAAUGGGCGAAAGCCUGACGCAGCCACGCCGCGUGAGGGAUGAAGGUCCUCUGAUCUUUAACCUCUGUUUGUAGGGGAGAAAGGUCACUGUGCUAAUCAGCAGUGAAUUGACGGUACCUGCAAAGGACGCACCGGCUAACUCCGUGCCAGCAGCCGCGGUAAUACGGAGGGUGCGAGCGUUACUCGGAAUUACUGGGCGGAAAGCGCUCGUAGGCGGUAUGUCAAGUCAGGAGUGAAAUCCCCGCGCGCAACGUGGGAACUGCCUUUGAUACUGGCAAUCUGGAGUGGGUGAGAGGAUAGUGGAAUUCCAGGUGUAGGAGUGAAAUCCGUAGAUAUCUGGAGGAACAUCAGUGGCGAAGGCGACUAUCUGGCACAUAACUGACGCUGAGGAGCGAAAGUGUGGGUAGCAAACAGGAUUAGAUACCCGAGUAGUC
rnacentral:rRNA from 1 species